UACGGAAGGCAGCAGUGGGGAAUAUUGCACAAUGGGCGCAAGCCUGAUGCAGCCAUGCCGCGUGUAUGAAAAAGGCCUUCGGGUUGUAAAGUACUUUCAGUCGUGAGGAAGGUGUUAAGGUUAAUAACCUUAGCAAUUGACGUUAGCGACAGAAGAAGCACCGGCUAACUCCGUGCCAGCAGCCGCGGUAAUACGGAGGGUGCGAGCGUUAAUCGGAAUUACUGGGCGUAAAGGGCACGCAGGCGGUUAAUUAAGUUGGAUGUGAAAUCCCCGGGCUUAACCUGGGAAUGGCAUUCAAGACUGGUUAGCUAGAGUCUUGUAGAGGGGGGUAGAAUUCCAUGUGUAGCGGUGAAAUGCGUAGAGAUGUGGAGGAAUACCGGUGGCGAAGGCGGCCCCUGGACAAAGACUGACGCUCAUGUGCGAAAGCUGGGGAGCAAACAGGGAUUAGAUACC
rnacentral:rRNA from 1 species